GGCUCCGUAGUGAAGUUCAUAGUGAGUUGCAAGCUCGCUGAUGCACAUCGACCAUGUGCCGGGGUCU
rnacentral:tRNA from 1 species